AUAGUGGUAGAUUUACACCUCUCCAAGAAUUGCUAUGAACUUCUUUCUGUGGUAUUAUAAAAGGAAUAAUUUGCUCGAAAUUUCUUGAUGCACCUGUCCAUUUAAAUAGUCAUCCUAUUUUAGGCUCACAUGUGAGUUUUGGAUUUUUGAAGUGAAGUCUUUUAAAAUGUACAAAACCUAACAUUUCUGCUGUGUUUCUGAAAGAUUAAAGAAAAAUUCCAUUAAGAAAGACUAGGAGAAUUCAACUGUGUCUUCUCAUGUGUUGCUAGCAUUUUCCAUCCCAGAUAGAAAAUAUGCCAAGGUGCAUUGUGUAUUAAUCAAUCAAAAUGCAAAAGUAACAGCACAAUUCACCAUCACAACCUCACAACCAAGAAUAUUCCUCAAGGGAGCUUUCAUUGAAUUGCCUGGGUUUUGACACAGAGUAACCCAGCUGUCCAGCUAUUGAUUUGGGCAUAAUUAUCUUCUGCUUAGUAAUUAUUUACAUAUGCAUUGGAAUUGUGUCACUGUGCUUUUCAGUGGGAUUAAGAGAAAUAGUGACAGCAUAAUACUAUUUGAGGGCAAACUCUAUGGUUUCUAAAGAUACGAAUCCAUUGUUAGGCCUUUUAGUGGACAGAAUUUUUCAUUGGACAUAGUCCCACCCAGAGAAACCAGGAAAAGGGCUUCUGGGCAUUUGAGUCUGGAUUUUAUUUUUUGCAGUCCAUGGUUGUGCAUCCUGUCCUUUAGACACCUGAGCUUGAAGCCAUUUCCUGGGCUUGAAUGCAUUAAAAAUAUGUGUAUAUAAUCCCUAGUCUGGGAACCUCCCUAUACCACAGGUGCAGCCCUUAAAAAAAAAAAAUGUGUUUAUGUGUGCACACACACCCACCCUUUCCUGGCAGAUUUUGCACUCUAUGAAAUUUGUAUUAUUUGGUAAUGAUUGUGGCUUGGUCCAAUGAUGCUUACCUUUUGAAAUGAUGCUUACUCUUUAUGCAAGAAAAGUAGAAAACAGGAUAUUUAAACUGAUUGAUCCUAAACAUUCAGGCUAAAGUCAGGGUUUCCAAUGUGAGUAACUCAUUGGGAUGGUACUAAAAGAUGCCUUCUUCUAACUCUCCCUACUCCUGUGGAUAACUCUGUGGGUAGGACUGACAUUUAGAGGUCUACAGUACCCACCAUUGAUGUUAAGGUAUGUGAUCAAUUAAUUUUUAAUUUUGGCCAAAUUAAUUUCUGUCAUAACAUGGACUAACAUUUUAUACUUAAUUCAAAGCUAACUUCAUUCAGAAAGUUGUGGCUGGUGUUGUGUCAUUUGAGGAACAGAAGUUUACUCUAAAGCGGUAUUUUCACAUACCCAUGAUGCUCAGAAUGGUCAUUUUCUAGUGUUUAUAUAAUGGUAAGGGUAUUGCAGAUUUGUUUCUAACUUGCUCUUAAAUGACUGAAACACUUAGCAAGGUGUCUUUUUAACUAAUUUUGAUGUUUUAAUAUAGAAUCAGAUUUUCACAAGAGUUGAUAUUAGACCUCAAUUCCAGGAUGUAAAUAAUUUGCAUUUUCUGUGAGUAUGCCAUUUUGUUUAGAAUCAUGUUUACAAAAUUUGUACUAGUCACACACUGCUGAAGCAAUGAGCAAAACAUGGAAAACAUGUAAUGCGCUUAAAAAAACAAAUUGAGAGGAUACUGAACUGUGUCUGGAGGCUCCUGAAACCCUUCCCACAGUUGCUCAUGAAUAAGAGGAAAAGAGAUGAAGAUUUCCUUCAGACCAGCCUAAUCUAAAUAUGAAACUCCCUCCACUUCCUUCUGGUCCCAUUUAUCUCUCUGCUCUUGUUCAGGGGAAUUCCUUUCAUUAUCUAGUUAAUGUAGACAUGUAUUCAGUCUUCACCAUUCAUCUUUUGAACUUGUUUGCAUCAGUGUUGUCCAUCAUUGAUUAAAAGAUCCUAGACUGCAGGGUCAAGUUCUCUUAUACUCUCUUUCUAAAGUGCUUAUUACCAUCCCAUGCUAAGUAGAUAAUGAAUGCAAGUGGUCAAGGUGCUUUUAUUUACAUUUCCCAUAACUUCUGGUGGGAAAAUGUUUUCCUAUAUUUCCUUGCCAGCUGAUGCACCUUUAUAACUAUGGUGAGGCUUGGGAUGGAGGGGGAUGGGAUAUGGUAUAGGGUAGGGUUGGGACUGGAGAGCAAUUUAAGGUGGUGGAGAGGAGCUUGUGCCCUGGAAUCAGACAGACCCAGGGGAAUAUUCACUUCACAACUUAAACUCUCUUUCUGGUCUUCGAUCAUCCAAGCCCACAUCUCUUCAUUUGUGAAACAGGAGUAUAAUACCUAUGUUCUAGGCUGAUUUGUGUUCCCUACAAAAUUCAUAUGUUGCAGUCCUAACCCUGGAGCUAGGAACUUGACUAGAUUUGGAGACGGGGUGUUCAACUGUGGCGCUGGAGUUAAAACAAGGCACUAGAAUGAACCCUAAACUAGUAUGAAUGAUGACCUUAUAAGAAGAGGAAAUUUAGACACAGUCAUGGCUGUUGUGAAGACACAGGGAGGAGAUGCCCAUCUACAAACCAAAGAGAGAGCCUUCCCUUACAGCCCUCUGUGGGAACCAACCUUGACCUCAGAAGUCAAGGCUCCAGAACUGCAAGGCAAUUAAUGCUGGGCAAUGCCAAUGCGAACAAGUUCAAAAGGAACAUGAUGAGACAAUUUCUGUGGUUUAGGCCAUCUGGUCUGUAAUAUUUUGUAAUUGCAGCCCUAUCAAACUAAUAUAACCUACUUCAUGGUAUCAUUUUAAUUAGAUAGGAUCCUGUUUAUAAAGUACUUACCAGGGUGAAUGAUGUAUAAUAGACGCUCAAUAGGUAGUAGUUUAAUAAAAUGGUCAGAGGUGAGAAAAGAGAACAAAAGUGGAAACACUUAGAAAUUGCAUUCUUAAGGCCUACAUGAGCAUGGAGGUAGAUUUGGAAGACAAUACAAAGGAGUUUCUUUUUGUUUAAAUUAGGCCCCAUGCGAACUUGUGAGCAUUUAUGGAUCGACAGUAUUCAAUUGUGUUUUUCUUUGCAGUUGUCCCUUUGGGAUGAUUAAUGAGCCCCAAGUACUAACAGAUGAGCCUCACAGGAGGAUUUAUGAUCUUGAACCAUAGAUUCAGAUGGUGUCUGCAUGUUGAAUGCUUGGUAAAAAUAUGGAAGUAGUGGUGUCCCAAUCUAACUGGUUUCAUUGGAUUGGUUUCACACUUCAUUGCCUUCUGGCAAAGAAUAUUGUGAGCCCAAAUAAUUUUUUAAAUGGCCAGCAUUAAAAUGAGGCCUCCUGCUAUUCACUGAAGCUCUUCUCUAAGUAACCAGAAGUUACUGCAUUUAUGUGGAUUGAAAGCAUAUUUUAAGCAUCACUUAAAUAUUUUAAAUAUCAGUUCUACAUACCAAACAUCAGUCCUGCAAACCUUUCCCCUGUUAACAUUA
rnacentral:lncRNA from 1 species